GUGAAUCAUCAAAUUUUUGAACGCAAAUUGCACUCCCUUCGGAGAGUAUGACUGUUUGAGGGUCAGUAUUAAUAAAAAUCGGAGUGUUGCUUCUUUGUGUCGCUCCGGAGUUUGGGUCAUCUUAAUAUCUUUUAGGUUUUCAGUGGUUUAAAAUUGAUUUUUUUUGCGCAAAUUAGUUGUUCUUAAGUCCUUUUUAUUAUUCGUAUGUCUUAAUGCUCAACAU
rnacentral:misc_RNA from 1 species